CAGAUACAGGUUAUGUGGGACCCUCUGAGCUGAGAUUCAGAGGGCAGUUGCAGCUCCUUCUUACCUCAGAAGCACUGCAAAUGGCAUCACAGACAAGGGAGAAUUUCCUAUUGGUUCCUAGGAUGGUUCAGGGAAUAUGAGAAACCAAAAAGAAAAAAGAUAACAGAAGAUGCAACGAUAAAACUUGGGGCAGGGACUCCUGGGCAUGGAGAAAAAGCGUACAGGAAUACCGGGCAGUUCAGGCUGACCUAAGGAAGAGCCCUGGAUCAAGAAAAGACUGCCUUCUCCUCCUAGACAUCUGGAGUCCCCGUACUUCAUCCUGAUAUCUGGUGACUCCUGGAGGUUUUCCUGGAGAGAGCGGGGAGUGUCUACUUGACAUCGAAAG
rnacentral:lncRNA from 1 species